rnacentral:rRNA from 1 species
GAACGCUGGCGGCAGGCUUAACACAUGCAAGUCGAGCGGGGGAAGGUAGCUUGCUACCGGACCUAGCGGCGGACGGGUGAGUAAUGCUUAGGAAUCUGCCUAUUAGUGGGGGACAACAUCUCGAAAGGGAUGCUAAUACCGCAUACGUCCUACGGGAGAAAGCAGGGGAUCUUCGGACCUUGCGCUAAUAGAUGAGCCUAAGUCGGAUUAGCUAGUUGGUGGGGUAAAGGCCUACCAAGGCGACGAUCUGUAGCGGGUCUGAGAGGAUGAUCCGCCACACUGGGACUGAGACACGGCCCAGACUCCUACGGGAGGCAGCAGUGGGGAAUAUUGGACAAUGGGGGGAACCCUGAUCCAGCCAUGCCGCGUGUGUGAAGAAGGCCUUAUGGUUGUAAAGCACUUUAAGCGAGGAGGAGGCUACUUUAGUUAAUACCUAGAGAUAGUGGACGUUACUCGCAGAAUAAGCACCGGCUAACUCUGUGCCAGCAGCCGCGGUAAUACAGAGGGUGCGAGCGUUAAUCGGAUUUACUGGGCGUAAAGCGUGCGUAGGCGGCUUAUUAAGUCGGAUGUGAAAUCCCCGAGCUUAACUUGGGAAUUGCAUUCGAUACUGGUGAGCUAGAGUAUGGGAGAGGAUGGUAGAAUUCCAGGUGUAGCGGUGAAAUGCGUAGAGAUCUGGAGGAAUACCGAUGGCGAAAGCAGCCAUCUGGCCUAAUACUGACGC